rnacentral:rRNA from 1 species
UACGGAGGGAGCAAGCGUUACUCGGUAUUACUGGGCGUAAAGGGCCAGUAGGCGGCCAACUAAGUCACACGUGAAAUCCCCAGGCUUAACCUGGGAACUGCGUGUGAUACUGGAUGGCUUGAAUUCGGGAGAGGGAUGCAGAAUUCCAGGUGUAGCGGUGAAAUGCGUAGAUAUCUGGAGGAAUACCGGUGGCGAAGGCGGCAUCCUGGACCGACAUUGACGCUGAACGGCGAAAGCUAGGGGAGCAAACGGG